rnacentral:tRNA from 1 species
GGUCUCGUCGUACAACGGAUAGUAUGUAAGCCUCCGGAGCUUGAGAUUUAGGUUCGAUUCCUAACGAGACCACCA